GAUGAACGCUGGCGGCGUGCCUAAUACAUGCAAGUCGAGCGAACGGACGAGAAGCUUGCUUCUCUGAUGUUAGCGGCGGACGGGUGAGUAACACGUGGAUAACCUACCUAUAAGACUGGGAUAACUUCGGGAAACCGGAGCUAAUACCGGAUAAUAUUUUGAACCGCAUGGUUCAAAAGUGAAAGACGGUCUUGCUGUCACUUAUAGAUGGAUCCGCGCUGCAUUAGCUAGUUGGUAAGGUAACGGCUUACCAAGGCAACGAUGCAUAGCCGACCUGAGAGGGUGAUCGGCCACACGGGAACUGAGACACGGUACAGACUCCUACGGGAGGCAGCAGUAGGGAAUCUUCCGCAAUGGGCGAAAGCCUGACGGAGCAACGCCGCGUGAGUGAUGAAGGUCUUCGGAUCGUAAAACUCUGUUAUUAGGGAAGAACAGAUGUGUAAGUAACUGUGCACAUCUUGACGGUACCUAAUCAGAAAGCCACGGCUAACUACGUG
rnacentral:rRNA from 1 species